rnacentral:rRNA from 1 species
UACGUAGGGGGCGAGCGUUGUCCGGAAUUAUUGGGCGUAAAGAGCGUGUAGGCGGUUCGGUAAGUCUGUCGUGAAAACCUGAGGCUCAACCUCGGGCGUGCGAUGGAUACUGCCGGGCUAGAGGAUGGUAGAGGCGAGUGGAAUUCCCGGUGUAGCGGUGAAAUGCGCAGAUAUCGGGAAGAACACCCGUGGCGAAGGCGGCUCUCUGGAACGGUACUGACGCUGAGACGCGAAAGCGUGGGGAGCGAACAGG